GCCAGUGUGGUAUAGUGGAUUAAGUGUUCGACUAAAACUCUGGAGAUCAGGGUUUGAUUCCCUGCUCAACCA